rnacentral:lncRNA from 1 species
GCGGCAUAUUGUUACCUAAUUAGUACCUAAUUUAAUUAAUUUUCCCUAGCCAACCCUCACCCGAUCGAUCUCUCUUUUCCCCUCCCGCACGACUCUUUCUCUCUUCCCCUCACCGCGUCCGUACGACCUCUGCCCUUCUGCACGUGCACGCACAACGUCAUCUGAUCGCCGCCGUCAUCCAUAGUCGCCUCCGCCGCAAUCCUCUUUGACCAUUAUUUUUGGUUCCCUAUCGACGACAUCUUGCCGUCGUCUUCACCAUUUUCGAUAAGGUUUUUCUCUUUCUCAUUUUACCUCCAUAUCGAAUCUUGUGAUUAUCCAAUCUUUUUGUUCAUCGUUUUAUUAUUAUUUUGAAUACUCGCCUCAUGAUGAUUGAAAUUUGAAACCAUCAAAAUCUAAUUUCGUUAUAUCUAAUCUUCGUCGUUCGAACAGUUUAAUUUCAUAUCUUGUAUCCUCUGUAUGACCUAGUUGCAUAAAACUUCACAU